UUGACCUCGGAUCAAGUAGGGUU
rnacentral:rRNA from 1 species